GCCUGAUGACCAUAGCGAGGUGGUCCCACUCCUUCCCAUCCCGAACAGGAUAGUGAAACGCCUUUGCGCCGAUGAUAGUGCGGGUUCCCCGUGUGAAAGUAGGACAUCGUCAGC
rnacentral:rRNA from 1 species